GACGUAGGGCGCGAGCGUUGUCCGGAUUUAUUGGGCGUAAAGAGCUCGUAGGCGGCUUGUUACGUCGACUGUGAAAUCCCGCGGCUCAACUGCGGGCUUGCAGCCGAGACGGGCAGGCUAGAGUUCGGUAGGGGAGAGUGGAAUUCCUGGUGUAGCGGUGAAAUGCGCAGAUAUCAGGAGGAACACCGGUGGCGAAGGCGGGUCUCUGGGCCGAUACUGACGCUGAGGAGCGAAAGCGUGGGGAGCGAACAGG
rnacentral:rRNA from 1 species